CCUACGGGAGGCAGCAGUGAGGAAUAUUGGUCAAUGGACGAGAGUCUGAACCAGCCAAGUCGCGUGAAGGAUGACUGCCCUAUGGGUUGUAAGCUUCUUUUAUAUGGGAAUAAAACGUUCCACGUGUGGGAGUUUGUAUGUACCAUAUGAAUAAGGAUCGGCUAACUCCGUGCCAGCCGCCGCGGUAAUACGGAGGCUCCGAGUGUUAUCCGGAUUUAGUGGGUUUAGGGGGUGCGUAGGCGGAUCGUUAAGUCAGUGGUCAAGUUGAGGGGCUCAACCCCUUCCCGCCAUUGAAACUGGGGUUCUUGAGUGGAAGAGAAGUAUGCGGAAUGCGUGGUGUAGCGGUGAAAUGCAUAGAUAUCACGCAGAACCCCGAUGGCGAAGGCAGCAUGCCGGCUUCCGACUGACGCUGAAGCACGAAAGCGUGGGGAUCGAACAGGAUUAGAUACCCCAGUAGUC
rnacentral:rRNA from 1 species